UUAAGCGACUAAGCGUACACGGUGGAUGCCCUGGCAGUCAGAGGCGAUGAAGGACGUGCUAAUCUGCGAAAAGCGUCGGUAAGGUGAUAUGAACCGUUAUAACCGGCGAUGUCCGAAUGGGGAAACCCAGUGCAAUUCGUUGCACUAUCGUUAACUGAAUACAUAGGUUAACGAGGCGAACCGGGGGAACUGAAACAUCUAAGUACCCCGAGGAAAAGAAAUCAACCGAGAUUCCCCCAGUAGCGGCGAGCGAACGGGGAGCAGCCCAGAGUCUGAAUCAGCUUGUGUGUUAGUGGAACGGUCUGGAAAGUCCGACGGUACAGGGUGAUAGUCCCGUACACCAAAAUGCACAGGUUGUGAACUCGAAGAGUAGGGCGGGACACGUGGUAUCCUGUCUGAAUAUGGGGGGACCAUCCUCCAAGGCUAAAUACUCCUGACUGACCGAUAGUGAACCAGUACCGUGAGGGAAAGGCGAAAAGAACCCCGGCGAGGGGAGUGAAAAAGAACCUGAAACCGUGUACGUACAAGCAGUGGGAGCACCUUCGGGUGUGACUGCGUACCUUUUGUAUAAUGGGUCAGCGACUUAUAUUCUGUAGCAAGGUUAACCGUAUAGGGGAGCCGCAGGGAAACCGAGUCUUAACUGGGCGUUAAGUUGCAGGGUAUAGACCCGAAACCCGGUGAUCUAGCCAUGGGCAGGUUGAAGGUUGGGUAACACUAACUGGAGGACCGAACCGACUAAUGUUGAAAAAUUAGCGGAUGACUUGUGGCUGGGGGUGAAAGGCCAAUCAAACCGGGAGAUAGCUGGUUCUCCCCGAAAGCUAUUUAGGUAGCGCCUCGUGAACUCAUCUUCGGGGGUAGAGCACUGUUUCGGCUAGGGGGUCAUCCCGACUUACCAACCCGAUGCAAACUACGAAUACCGAAGAAUGUUAUCACGGGAGACACACGGCGGGUGCUAACGUCCGUCGUGAAGAGGGAAACAACCCAGACCGCCAGCUAAGGUCCCAAAGUCAUGGUUAAGUGGGAAACGAUGUGGGAAGGCACAGACAGCCAGGAUGUUGGCUUAGAAGCAGCCAUCAUUUAAAGAAAGCGUAAUAGCUCACUGGUCGAGUCGGCCUGCGCGGAAGAUGUAACGGGGCUAAACCAUGCACCGAAGCUGCGGCAGCGACACUAUGUGUUGUUGGGUAGGGGAGCGUUCUGUAAGCCUGCGAAGGUGACCUGUGAGGGUUGCUGGAGGUAUCAGAAGUGCGAAUGCUGACAUAAGUAACGAUAAAGCGGGUGAAAAGCCCGCUCGCCGGAAGACCAAGGGUUCCUGUCCAACGUUAAUCGGGGCAGGGUGAGUCGACCCCUAAGGCGAGGCCGAAAGGCGUAGUCGAUGGGAAACAGGUUAAUAUUCCUGUACUUGGUGUUACUGCGAAGGGGGGACGGAGAAGGCUAUGUUAGCCGGGCGACGGUUGUCCCGGUUUAAGCAUGUAGGCUGAUUGUCCAGGCAAAUCCGGAUAAUCAAGGCUGAGGUGUGAUGACGAGGCACUACGGUGCUGAAGUAACAAAUGCCCUGCUUCCAGGAAAAGCCUCUAAGCAUCAGGUAACAUCAAAUCGUACCCCAAACCGACACAGGUGGUCAGGUAGAGAAUACCAAGGCGCUUGAGAGAACUCGGGUGAAGGAGCUAGGCAAAAUGGUGCCGUAACUUCGGGAGAAGGCACGCUGGUGUGUAGGUGAAGCCCCUGCGGGUGGAGCUGAGACCAGUCGAAGAUACCAGCUGGCUGCAACUGUUUAUUAAAAACACAGCACUGUGCAAACACGAAAGUGGACGUAUACGGUGUGACGCCUGCCCGGUGCCGGAAGGUUAAUUGAUGGGGUUAUCCGUAAGGAGAAGCUCUUGAUCGAAGCCCCGGUAAACGGCGGCCGUAACUAUAACGGUCCUAAGGUAGCGAAAUUCCUUGUCGGGUAAGUUCCGACCUGCACGAAUGGCGUAAUGAUGGCCAGGCUGUCUCCACCCGAGACUCAGUGAAAUUGAACUCGCUGUGAAGAUGCAGUGUACCCGCGGCAAGACGGAAAGACCCCGUGAACCUUUACUAUAGCUUGACACUGAACAUUGAGCCUUGAUGUGUAGGAUAGGUGGGAGGCUUUGAAGCGUGGACGCCAGUCUGCGUGGAGCCAACCUUGAAAUACCACCCUUUAAUGUUUGAUGUUCUAACGUUGGCCCCUGACCGGGGUUGCGGACAGUGUCUGGUGGGUAGUUUGACUGGGGCGGUCUCCUCCCAAAGCGUAACGGAGGAGCACGAAGGUUAGCUAAUCCUGGUCGGACAUCAGGAGGUUAGUGCAAUGGCAUAAGCUAGCUUGACUGCGAGCGUGACGGCGCGAGCAGGUGCGAAAGCAGGUCAUAGUGAUCCGGUGGUUCUGAAUGGAAGGGCCAUCGCUCAACGGAUAAAAGGUACUCCGGGGAUAACAGGCUGAUACCGCCCAAGAGUUCAUAUCGACGGCGGUGUUUGGCACCUCGAUGUCGGCUCAUCACAUCCUGGGGCUGAAGUAGGUCCCAAGGGUAUGGCUGUUCGCCAUUUAAAGUGGUACGCGAGCUGGGUUUAGAACGUCGUGAGACAGUUCGGUCCCUAUCUGCCGUGGGCGCUGGAGAAUUGAGGGGGGCUGCUCCUAGUACGAGAGGACCGGAGUGGACGCAUCACUGGUGUUCGGGUUGUCAUGCCAAUGGCACUGCCCGGUAGCUAAAUGCGGAAGAGAUAAGUGCUGAAAGCAUCUAAGCACGAAACUUGCCCCGAGAUGAGUUCUCCCUGAGACUUUAAGUCUCCUGAAGGAACGUUGAAGACGACGACGUUGAUAGGCCGGGUGUGUAAGCGCAGCGAUGCGUUGAGCUAACCGGUACUAAUGAACCGUGAGGCUUAACCUU
rnacentral:rRNA from 1 species